rnacentral:rRNA from 1 species
CAGCAGCCGCGGUAAUACCGGCGGCCCGAGUGGCGGUCACUAUUAUUGGGCUUAAAGCGUCCGUAGCCGGGUUGGUUAGUCUCCCGGGAAAUCUGGCCGCUUAACGGUCAGAAUUCCGGGAGAUACUGCCAGCCUAGGGACCGGGGGAGGCCGAGGGUAUUCCCGGAGUAGGGGGGAAAUCCUAUAAUCCCGGGAGGACCACCUGUGGCGAAGGCGCUCGGCUGGAACGGGUCCGACGGUGAGGGACGAAGGCCAGGGGAGCAAACCGGAUUAGAUACCCGGGUAGUCCUGGCUGUAAACGAUGCGGACUUUGUGUCGGACAAGCUAUGAGCUUGUCCGGUGCCGGAGGGAAACCGUUAAGUCCGCCGCCUGGGGAGUACGGCCGCAAGGCUGAAACUUAAAGGAAUUGGCGGG